ACCGUAUAGGGGAGCCGCAGGGAAACCGAGUCUUAACUGGGCGUUAAGUUGCAGGGUAUAGACCCGAAACCCGGUGAUCUAGCCAUGGGCAGGUUGAAGGUUGGGUAACACUAACUGGAGGACCGAACCGACUAAUGUUGAAAAAUUAGCGGAUGACUUGUGGCUGGGGGUGAAAGGCCAAUCAAACCGGGAGAUAGCUGGUUCUCCCCGAAAGCUAUUUAGGUAGCGCCUCGUGAAUUCAUCUUCGGGGGUAGAGCACUGUUUCGGCUAGGGGGUCAUCCCGACUUACCAACCCGAUGCAAACUACGAAUACCGAAGAAUGUUAUCACGGGAGACACACGGCGGGUGCUAACGUCCGUCGUGAAGAGGGAAACAACCCAGACCGCCAGCUAAGGUCCCAAAGUCAUGGUUAAGUGGGAAACGAUGUGGGAAGGCACAGACAGCCAGGAUGUUGGCUUAGAAGCAGCCAUCAUUUAAAGAAAGCGUAAUAGCUCACUGGUCGAGUCGGCCUGCGCGGAAGAUGUAACGGGGCUAAACCAUGCACCGAAGCUGCGGCAGCGACACUAUGUGUUGUUGGGUAGGGGAGCGUUCUGUAAGCCUGCGAAGGUGUGCUGUGAGGCAUGCUGGAGGUAUCAGAAGUGCGAAUGCUGACAUAAGUAACGAUAAAGCGGGUGAAAAGCCCGCUCGCCGGAAGACCAAGGGUUCCUGUCCAACGUUAAUCGGGGCAGGGUGAGUCGACCCCUAAGGCGAGGCCGAAAGGCGUAGUCGAUGGGAAACAGGUUAAUAUUCCUGUACUUGGUGUUACUGCGAAGGGGGGACGGAGAAGGCUAUGUUAGCCGGGCGACGGUUGUCCCGGUUUAAGCGUGUAGGCUGGUUAUCCAGGCAAAUCCGGAUAAUCAAGGCUGAGGUGUGAUGACGAGGCACUACGGUGCUGAAGUAACAAAUGCCCUGCUUCCAGGAAAAGCCUCUAAGCAUCAGGUAACAUCAAAUCGUACCCCAAACCGACACAGGUGGUCAGGUAGAGAAUACCAAGGCGCUUGAGAGAACUCGGGUGAAGGAACUAGGCAAAAUGGUGCCGUAACUUCGGGAGAAGGCACGCUGGUGUGUAGGUGAAGUCCCUGCGGAUGGAGCUGAGACCAGUCGAAGAUACCAGCUGGCUGCAACUGUUUAUUAAAAACACAGCACUGUGCAAACACGAAAGUGGACGUAUACGGUGUGACGCCUGCCCGGUGCCGGAAGGUUAAUUGAUGGGGUUAUCCGUAAGGAGAAGCUCUUGAUCGAAGCCCCGGUAAACGGCGGCCGUAACUAUAACGGUCCUAAGGUAGCGAAAUUCCUUGUCGGGUAAGUUCCGACCUGCACGAAUGGCGUAAUGA
rnacentral:rRNA from 1 species